GUUUUUUUGAGUUUUUUGGGGUUUUUUUUUAGCUUUUUGAGUUUUUUGGGGGGUUUUUUGGGGUGUUUUUGGAGGUUUUAUUUGGAGUUUUUUUGGGGUUAUUCUGGGGUGUUUCUGGGGUUUUUUUGGGGUGUUUUUGGGGUUUUUUUGGGGUGUUUUUUGGGGUGUUUUUGGGGUUUUUUUGGGGUGUUUCUGGGGUUAUUCUGGGGUGUUUCUGGGAUUUUUUUGGGGUGUUUUUGGGGUUUUUUUGGGGUGUUUCUGGGGUUUUUUUGGGGUGUUUUUGGGGUGUUUCUGGGGUUUUUUUGGGGUGUUUCUGGGGUUAUUCUGGGGUUGUUUCUGGGGUUUUUUUGGGGUGUUUUUGGGGUGUUCCUGGGGUUAUUCUGGGGUGUUUUUGGGGUGUUUUUGGGGUGUUUCUGGGGUUUUUUUGGGGUGUUUCUGGGGUUAUUCUGGGGGUGUUUCUGGGGUUUUUUUGGGGUGUUUUUGGGGUUUUUUUGGGGUGUUUCUGGGGUUAUUCUGGGGUGUUUCUGGGAUUUUUUUGGGGUGUUUCUGGGGUUAUUUUGGGGUGUUCCUGGGGUUAUUCUGGGGGUGUUUCCGGGGUUAUUCUGGGGUGUUUUUGGGUCACUCACGAGUCCCGGCGGCGCCGCUGGUGCUCGAAGACGAGGAGGCCGCGGGCGUUGACGCUGCAGAGCAGCUCCCGGCCCCGCAGCAGGUCCAGGCGGAACGGGCGCUCUGUCACCAGCAGCCGGUGUCCCCCGGGGCCCAGAGACAGCUCCAGGGUGGCCUCGUCACGGGCUGUCACCUCCAGCCUGGGGACAGCGGCCGAAAGGGGUGGCUGUGACACCCCUGGGUCCCCUGUCCUCUCUUGGGGGUGGCUGUGACACCCCUGUGUCCUCAGUGUCCCCAAUGUCCCCAGUGCUGUCCCCAGUGUCCCCAAUGUCCCCAGUGCUGUCCCCAGUGUCCCCAGUGUCCCCAAUGUCCCCAGUGUCCCCUCACCUCUCGGCAGGUGGCUGUGACACCCCAGUGUCCCCAGUGUCCCCAGUGUCCCCUCACCUCUCGGCAGGUGGCUGUGACCCCCCAGUGUCCCCAGUGUCCCCA
rnacentral:lncRNA from 1 species